rnacentral:rRNA from 1 species
GAUGAACGCUGGCGGCGUGCCUAAUACAUGCAAGUCGAACGAAACUUCUUUAUCACCGAGUGCUUGCACUCACCGAUAAAGAGUUGAGUGGCGAACGGGUGAGUAACACGUGGGCAACCUGCCCAAAAGAGGGGGAUAACACUUGGAAACAGGUGCUAAUACCGCAUAACCAUAGUUACCGCAUGGUAACUAUGUAAAAGGUGGCUAUACUACCGCUUUUGGAUGGGCCCGCGGCGCAUUAGCCAGUUGGUAGGGUAAAGGCUUACCAAGGCAAUGAUGCGUAGCCGAAUUGAGAGGUUGAUCGGCCACAUUGGGACUGAGACACGGCCCAAACUCCUACGGGAGGCAGCAGUAGGGAAUCUUCCACAAUGGGCGAAAGCCUGAUGGAGCAACGCCGCGUGGGUGAAGAAGGUCUUCGGAUCGUAAAACCCUGUUGUUAGAGAAGAAAGUGCGUGAGAGUAACUGUUCACGUUUCGACGGUAUCUAACCGGAAAGCCACGGCUAACUACGUG